rnacentral:rRNA from 1 species
GGGCCCGCACAAGCGGUGGAGCAUGUGGCUUAAUUCGAGGCUACGCGAAGAACCUUAUCCUAGAUUUGACAUGCUUGAGAAUUCCUUCGAAAGAAGGAAGUGCCCCUCGGGGAGCUUUUGCACAGGUGCUGCAUGGCUGUCGUCAGCCCGUGUCGUGAGAUGUCGGGUUAAGUCCCUUAACGAGCGAAACCCUUAUCUCUAGUUGCCAGCGGGUAAUGCCGGGGACUCUAGAGAGACUGCCGGUGUCAAACCGGAGGAAGGUGGGGAUGACGUCAAGUCCUCAUGGCCUUUAUGUCUAGGGCUGCACACGUCCUACAAUGGUACGGACAAACGGACGCGAAACCGCGAGGUGGAGCAAAUCCUAAAAACCGUGCCUCAGUUCGGAUUGCAGGCUGCAACUCGCCUGCAUGAAGCCGGAAUCGCUAGUAA